rnacentral:rRNA from 1 species
CCUACGGGAGGCAGCAGUGAGGAAUAUUGGUCAAUGGGCGCGAGCCUGAACCAGCCAAGUAGCGUGAAGGAUGACUGCCCUACGGGUUGUAAACUCCUUUUAUAAAGGAAUAAAGUGAGGUACGUGUGUCUUUUUGUAUGUACCUUAUGACUAAGGACCGGCUAAUUCCGUGCCAGCAGCCGCGGUAAUACGGAGGUUCCGUGCGUUAUCCGGAUUUAUUGGGUGUAAAGGGAGCGUAGAUGGGUUGUUAAGUCAGUUGUGAAAGGUUGCGGCUCAACCGUGGAAUUGCAAUUGAUACUGGCAGUCUUGAGUACAGGGGAGGUAGGCGGAAUUCGUGGUGUAGCGGUGAAAUGCUUAGAUAUCACGAAGAACACCGAUUGCGAAGGCAGCUUACUAGACUGCAACUGACGUUGAUGCUCGAAAGUGUGGGUAUCAAACAGGAUUAGAUACCCGGGUAGUC